rnacentral:rRNA from 1 species
AGUGAACGCUGGCGGCAGGCCUAACACAUGCAAGUCGAACGGCAGCACGGCAGUAGCAAUACUGUGGGUGGCGAGUGGCGGACGGGUGAGGAAUACAUCGGGAUCUACCCUGUUGUGGGGGAUAACGUAGGGAAACUUACGCUAAUACCGCAUAAGAACUGAGGUUGAAAGCGGCGGACCGCAAGGCGUCGCGCGAUUGGAUGAACUGAUGUCCGAUUAGCUAGUUGGCGGGGUAAAGGCCCACCAAGGCGACGAUCGGUAGCUGGUCUGAGAGGACGACCAGCCACACUGGAACUGAGACACGGUCCAGACUCCUACGGGAGGCAGCAGUGGGGAAUAUUGGACAACGGGCGCAAGCCUGAUCCAGCCAUGCCGCGUGGGUGAAGAAGGCC